AAGGUCGUUGAGACCGUGCCGAAGACAGCAGGUACCGGAUAACCGGUGUAAGAAGAAACGCCUGCCGAGGAGUGAAAGAAAUGCGAUGAAUUUCCCUCUCUGUCUUUGGAUAGAGAGGUUUUUUUGUACAAAC
rfam:Firmicutes bacterium CAG:24 genomic scaffold, scf108